rfam:Myotis davidii contig154259, whole genome shotgun sequence.
AUCUACAGCCAUACCACCCUGAAUGCGCCAGAUCUCGUCUGCUCUCGGAAGCUAAGCAGGGUUGGGCCUGGUUAGUACUUGGAUGGGAGACCGCCUGGGAAUUCUGGGUGCUGUAUGCU